UAUUACAUGUUUUAUUUUGAAAAGCCUGAAAGGGAUAUGGUGCUUUUGUUGUGAAAGAUUGGUGAGAAAAUAAACAAGCGAAUGGCGGAGCGACACGAUGGUUUUACCGUCGUUGUUGCACAAACCGACGCGUAAAACAGCCUCUUGUCCAUCCAGACUCUUAUUUUAGAUAUAAGAAAAAUAGAGAACUCCAAGAAGAAACAAGAUAGCCGCUACAACAAUCAUUUAUGUGCUGGCAUUGACUGGUUCCUUGUUUUAUGGUCUGCAGACCAGCUCUUCCUGACCGUGCUCAGGACAAAUCGUGAGCUCAGAGGGGAUUGGGCGUUUGCUGUGGCAGCACCAAAAUUGUGGAAUGAGUUGCCUUUACAUGUUAGACAGGCACCUUCCUUAUCUGUUUUUAAAUCACAUCUUAAAACAUAUCUAUUUACCUUGGCUUUCAGCACAGCAGGACUUGUUGAUGUCUCUUAAUGUUUCUUAUUAAUGAUAUAAUUUUUAAUUUUAAGAUAUUCUAUAUGUAAUUUAAACUGUUUUCUCUUUGUUUUAUAUUUGUAGCACUUUGGCCAACAUUGUUGGAUGUAUUAUAAAUAAAGAUGCUAUGCUAUGUCUCAUUUA